AAUUCUCAGCCCCUCAGCCAGAUAGAGAACUACAUGCAGAACACAGCAGUCUACAGGGCCAAGUGGAUUAGGGACAACAAUUGGACCAUCGAUCAGAUCCUCGAAGAGUUCCCUCACCUAAUGACCAAAGGCAUGAUUGCACAGGCUUGUCCUGCAUGGGGAUGCUGCAUCAAAGUUGUUUGAAACUUGGUCACGUGAAAUGCCAGGAGGGGAGUCUAAAAUGGUAAAGUUUAUUCAAAGUAGAAUACUUGCUUGCAAGUAGAGCUAAUGGCUCUUAAUAGCAGCUUUUUAAUAGGAAUUUGAAUUUGUUCAGUAUAUACCUGUUGAAAUUUUCAGCCAGUUCAUUCGUAAUUGUUGUUUUGCUCUGAAUGUUUUCCUACCUGAGUGAUAUGAACUGCACCAGUUCCACUAUAUUGUUGAUAUAAUAAAUUUUUUUCAAAGA